rnacentral:rRNA from 1 species
UCAAGCGAACAAGGGCGCAGGGCGAAUGCCUUGGCACUGGGAGCCGAUGAAAGACGUGAUAAGCUGCGAUAAGCUUCGGGGAGCUGCAAAUAAGCAUUGAUCCGGAGAUUUCUGAAUGAGGAAACUCACCUGGGUUCAUACUCAGGUACGUUAUACUGAACUUCAAAAUAGGUAUAUCGAGGGAACCGCCUGAACUGAAACAUCUAAGUAGGGCGAGGAAGAGACAUCAAACGAGAUUCCGUAAGUAGUGGCGAGCGAACGCGGAAGAGGGCAAACCGAAGGUAGAAAUACCUUCGGGGUACGGAGCGCAUUUAAGACUCAAGUUGUUAACCGAACGGCAUGGGAAGGCCGGUCAGAGAGUGUGAGAACCACGUAGGUGAAAAUGACGAGAGCUGAGCGAUUUCCAGAGUACGGCCAGACACGUGAAACCUGGUCGGAAGAUGGGGGGACCACCCUCCAACCCUAAAUACUACCCAGUGACCGAUAGCGUAUAGUACUGUGAAGGAAAGGUGAAAAGCACCCCGGGAGGGGAGUGAAAAAGAACCUGAAACCCUGUGCCUACAAGCACCUAGAGCACGUCAAUGUGUGAUAGGGUACUUUUUGUAGAACGGUCCGGCGAGCGAUUGUAUGCAGCAAGGUUAAGGACUUAAGGUCUGGAGCCGAAGCGAAAGCGAGUUUGAAAAGGGCGUUAAGUUGCAUAUAAUGGGCCCGAAACCGGGUGACCUACCCAUGGUCAGGUUGAAGUGGAAGUAAAAUUCCAUGGAGGACCGAACCGACCUCCGUUGAAAAGGCGGCGGAUGAACUGUGGGUAGCGGAGAAAUUCCAAUCGAACCCGGAGAUAGCUGGUUCUCCCCGAAAUAGUUUUAGGACUAGCCUCAAGUUAGAUACCUGGAGGUAAAGCACUGAAUAGCCUAGCGGCCGAGAGGUUAGCGAAGCUUAUCAAACUCAGAAUGCCAGAGUAUUGAUGCUUGGGAGUCAGACAGUGUCAGAUAAAUGUCAUUGUCAAAAGGGAAACAGCCCAGAUCUACAGCUAAGGUCCCAAAGUCAGGUUAAGUGGAAAACGAUGUGAAGAUACGCAGACAACCAGGAUGUUGGCUCAGAAGCAGCCACUCAUUCAAAGAGUGCGUAAUAGCUCACUGGUCGAGCGUCUUUGCGCGGAGAAUUUAACGGGGCUAAACCUGACACCGAAGCUUAGGCAAUCCAGUAAUGGAUUGGGUAGGGGAGCGUUGUAUACGCGGAGAAACAGUAGCGUAAGCGGCUGUGGAGUGUAUAGAAGUGAGAAUGCCGGAAUGAGUAGCGCGAAUGCAGUGAGAAUCUGCAUGGCCGAAAGCCUCAGGUUUUUGGAGGAAGGUUCGUCCGCUCCAAGUUAGUCGGGAGCUAAGGUGAGGCCGGAAGGCGUAGCCGAUGCACAGACGGUAGAGAUUCCGUCACCACCAAAAGAGUUAAGCACAGGGACACAUUUGAAGUCUCAGAGCCGGGUGUUGGUUCCGGUAGAGAUCGAGGGAAGUUAGUACCGAAGUCUGGGAUGGAAGAUGGCGAGAAAAGCUGUGUGUAUUUCUGAGGUGCCCGUACCGCAAACCGACACAGGUAGGUAGGAAGAAGAUUCUAAGGCCAACGGGAGAAGGGUUGUUAAGGAACUCGGCAAAUUGACCCCGUAACUUCGGGAGAAGGGGUGCUCCAGAGAUGGAGCCGCAGAGAAUCGGCCCAAGCAACUGUUUACCAAAAACACAGGUUUGUGCUAAAUCGAAAGAUGACGUAUACGAGCUGACGCCUGCCCGGUGCUGGAAGGUUAAGAGGAGAUGUGCAAGCAUUGAAUCGAAGCCCCAGUGAACGGCGGCCGUAACUAUAACGGUCCUAAGGUAGCGAAAUUCCUUGUCAGGUAAGUUCUGACCCGCAUGAAAGGCGUAAUGAUUUGGGCACUGUCUCAACAGCCCGCCCGGCGAAAUUGUAGUACCGGUGAAGAUGCCGGUUACC